UUUUAGGGACUGGCAUUUGUGAAACAAUUCAUCUAUUCACUGGAAAGCGAGAAUCCCAUCAGUUCCCAUCUGGCCGUGAAUUCAAUUCUCAAAGCCAAAUUCAUCAUUAUCAUCCUUUCAUCACCUCAACAUGUCCUGCCUGUAAGCUCCAGUGGAUAUCUGUCUUGAAUAAAAAACAUGUAGCAUCAUAGCAUUCACCUUCCCUUUUGAGUCGUUCUAUGAAUCUCAUUCAUUUUUGAUGAUGUGACUUCCUGGCAUGCGGUGAGAAGACCACGGGUGCGAGUAUCUGGAUACUGAUGAUGACCUCCAUCAUCCCCACCACCACCACCAGGCUGGCCCUAGUCCAGGCAUCGUCUCAGGCAGGAACAGCAAGAAUCUACAAUCCUCCGGCUUUGAGCUAUGGAUGGGGUCGAUGUCAAAAAACUAUAUUAUCACUGCAUCAUUUUGCUUACAUAUU